AUGGCAUUCCGUCCUGGGUGACUGGGAUCUGAGAUAAAAAGAGAAAUAGGGAAGAUCUUGAGGAAGAGUGAGCCCUGCAGGCUUAUCCACAAUGAUAGAAACCAAUUUCUUCAGGCACCAGUGGGGCUCACAGAACAAGAACUGAGCUGAUGGGUGAAGCAGCCUCCAUGGAGGGAGAGUAUGUGCAGAUCUUUGUAGGGAGGAAGAGAGUCCAGAGCCAGCUGGCAACAGGCCCCAAAACAGGCAAGUGGGGUUACACCAAACUGAAGUGCCUCUGCACAGCAAAGGACAUCAGUGACAGUGAAGAGAGAGCCCACCAAACCAGGGGACAACGCAAUGUUCUAAAAUGGAUUGUGGUCAUGGGUGCACAAUUCAGGGAGGAUACUAAAAAGCAGUUGAAUGGAGUGCUCCGUGGAUGAACUGCACGGCAUUGUGUCAGGCCUCACCUCCGACAACCUUGUGAGUUGUGGACUACAUUCCAGUGAAUGAAUUGGAGAAACGCGUACCCUCAAACCACAGUGUGGAUAAAGUAGGGCGUCUGCAAAGGAAUGCCACAGGAAGGGGAAGCAGCCACAGCUCUGGGUACCCAAUGCACAGCUUGGCUGGUGUGAGUGGACUGGAUUGAUGGAGAAGGAGGGAAUCGUAGCAGAAGCCAAAAUGAAGUAUGGCGGCUGCCGAGGGGGUGCUAUGAGCCGUCUACCCAGUGAGGUAUGAAGGGUCAAGUAGAGGAUUGCUGUGGAACGCCUUGGCUCUAGCUCUCUAGCAGGGUGCAGUGGUAUAUGUGCUCUAGCGUCUAUCACACUGUGAAGAAAUUUGCUAGCAUCAUCAUCAUCAUCUUUAUUUUUAAAUAAUUGAUCAGUCUUUCUUCUUGGUAGCUUCUAGGAAUUUAAAUCUUGAAUUUAAGAAUAUAAGAGGUCAGCUUGAGGAAUGAAUAUAUGUUUCGGGGAAGAAGGUCCCAUUACUGAACUGGCUUUGUCAUAAAAGCCUCUCAUGGCUACAGGUGCCAAUGUGACUCAUGACUGCAGAGGGCCACAUUUUACAUAUAAGAGAAGAGACCAAGUGACUUAUCCAAGAACAGGAGCAGCAAACUGCCAAACCAAGAUCUAACCCCGUGUCCCUCCAGCCAGAUCAAGAAGACUCCUCAAAUCGAGCUAUUCAUGAUCUGCAUUCUGGUGUAUGAAUCGGAAGAGCUUCAACUGGGAGACAGCUGCUGACAAGGUUUCCACUAGAAGGUUUUUUGUGGAGGAGAAACCCAACCCACUCACUUCAUGAGUAUACAUGGACCUGGAAGACCAGAGGAGUGACACACAAGCCAAGGAGCUUCACAGAUGUGGACACAAUCCACGGCGUCCUGGAUUUCUAACCCCCAGAAUAUCAAGCCAGGAGGCGUUCACAUUCUCUGUUUUCCAAGUAUCCCUGAGGCAUUCUCAAGUGACCCAGACCCAGAGAACGGGUACAGGACAGCAUAGCUUUGCAUGAUACAGCCUUCCGAAAUGCUGUGAACAACUACUAAUUCGUUCCAGAAACACUCUGGUUAUUUGAUCGUUUGUGUGAUUCAUCAGCUUUGAAAGAGCCUCGGGAGUCGCUGCCUGCUCCUCUUACACAGGCCCUGCUUUUCGGUUUUGCUUUCUGUGAAACGGAGUUAAUGGCAUUAGCCACUGAUCUGGCUUAAGAAGAGAAAAUGAGGAGAAAUAGCAGGAGGCUUACCAAGCACUGGCGAGAACACAUUGGAAAAUCUGAGGCAGACCCGGAGGAGGGAUCUCCCUAUGCUACCCAAGUGCCCAUUGCACUGCCUGGGCAUUCUGAGUGCCCACUGCCUACUUGUUGGAUUGAGGAUUUGAGGAGAGAGUCCUCUCAGAACCUCUAGCACGCUAGCUCACGGUGCACAGCAAACCUGGAAGUUGACGUGGAAGUAAAAUUCCAGGCGCGAUGAAGUGAAAAGCGAGUCACUCACCAACAGUUGUCACAGACCUCAGAUGGACUGUGCGACCCGUGGGAACUCCACAGUGAGCUAGCCAACAGUCACCCGGUCCAGACUGAAGGAGUAGUUCCUGUCUGAGAUGCUGUCAUCAUGGCAGAAGGUGGAGGAAGGACAGAAUGACAGUCCAGCGUUAGAGCUUCAUUUCCCGCAUCCCCAUCUCCAAAGCACAUUUCAGCGGCCCAAACAAAUUCAAGUCCUACCUGCAAUGGGGCAGGAAAUUCGGUCUGCUGCAGACAGAGCCCUAAAGCUGGGGUUGAAACAGGUGGGAU
rnacentral:lncRNA from 1 species